CCUGCGGAGGAUCAUUACCGUUACCAUACAAGUGUCGCCCUUUGUGGUGGACUACACUGUGAACCUUACCACUAAUUGUUAGGGGUAGACCGUUGUGGUCUUUAAAUGGAAGUACCGUCCAAUAGAGCCUUUGCUUCGUGAAGGAGAUACGCUUCUCUUGCUCGAUGUUCCGUCUGCAGCGUGAAGAGACAUUGUGGUUGGUGGCUCUUGAUACUCGGGCAUUCAGCGACGAGGUGUUGCGAAUCUCUGUCGGACCGGUGCUUCAGUGGACUGCUUCCGGCCCCGUUUGUUUUUUACUACACCUUCCAUUCUCGACUGAAACUGUGUGCGUGUCCACGACACCCACUGCGAGGAAAAAAAAGAGACAACUUUUAACGGUGGAUCUCUUGGCUCGUGCAUCGAUGAAGAACGCAGCCAGGUGCGAUAAGUAGUGUGAAUUGCAGAAUUCAGUGAAUCAUCGAAUCUUUGAACGCAAAUGGCGCUCUUGGGUUCUCCCAGGAGCAUGUCUGUCUGAGUGUCGGUUUCCAAACCAUCGCGCGCCGCCUUCUCCCUGCGGGUGUUUGGCGGGUCUGUGCGGCAUUGAGGCGUCUCGGUCCAAAUAUCAAGGCCGCGUCCCUUGAAAUCUAGCGAGACUCGGUUGCGCAGAUUGUACUUCGCAAUACCGGAGGCCAAAAGUAAUUUCGUCCUCUCGGUUGCCCUGUAGAACUGCGUCUGGCAGAGUCGUCAAAGGCUGACAGUAGUGUGUCAAUCACACCAAAUCUUGACCUCAGAUCAGGCAAGGCUACCCGCUGAAUUUAAGCAUAUCAAUAAGCGGAGGAAAAGAAACUAAC
rnacentral:sRNA from 1 species